GCGGCCGUGGCCGAGUGGUUAAGGCGAUUGAUUAGAAAUCAAUUGGGAGUUCCCGCACAGGUUCGAAUCCUGUCGGCCGCG